rnacentral:tRNA from 1 species
GAUUAUAUGGUCUAAUUAGGAUUUUAAAUUGCAAAUUUAAAGGUAAAGUAUAUUUUAUAAUCU